ensembl:lncRNA
GAGCACCAGUGUUGAAUUGUAUGGUAGGAGUAGGAUUAGUUUUGUAAGUUUGUCAUUUAGUUUUGACCGCCAGACCAUCUUCCAAAGUGGCUGUACCAUUUUGCAUUCCCAUCAGCAGAGCGUGAGAGUUCCUGUUGCUCCACGUCCUUGUCAGCAUUUGAUAUCUCCAGAGUUUUGGAUUUUGGCCAUUCUAAUAGAAAUAAUUUUACAAACUAGAAACAAAGAUGUCCUUUAUUGGACCAUGUGCCUUGGCUUCUGCUUCAGAGUAAGUGAUCACUCAGUCUAUGCGGCCAAAUGGGUGCAGUGUACAGGGGCAACGGCCCCGCCAUCAUGGGUUCAGAAGGAAAAAGAGAGUCACCUAGCAUCCACUGCAAUUUUCACGGCAAAUAACCUGUUUUUCUUAAUCAAGAUGGAACUCAAAUGAAAUAAAAUUAGCCAUUUUAAGAACAGUUCAGUGGCAUUAGUCCAUUCACAAUGUUGUACCACCUCUGCUUCUAUCCAGUUCCAAAACACUCUCCUCACUCCAACAUAAGAUCCCGUACCUGUUAACGCCGUGGUUUUACUUCCUAUUGCCUCCUCCUCCCAGCACCUGGAAACUACCAAUUUGCUUUCUGUUUACCUAUUCCGGAUAUUUCAUAUAAGUGGAAUCAAAUAAUAUUUGACAUUUAUUUGUGUCUGGCUUCUUUCAUUUGGCAUAUGUUUUCAAGGUUUACCCAUGUUAUAGCAUACGUUACUACUUCAUUCCUUCCUACAGCUGAAUAAUAUUCCACUGUAUGAAUGUACAUUUUAUUUAUCCAUUCAUCCAUUGGUGGACAUUUGGAUUGUUUCCACCUUUUGGCUUUUGUGCAUAGUGCUGCAUUGAACAUUCAUGUACAUGGCAAAGAGCUUUUGCUCUUCUCUUCUUUGAACACUCUUGAAAGAUAGGGAUUGGAGGAACUUCACCUGACUUCAUCCCCAAUUCCUCUGCUUAACCUCUUCAAUUUCAUUCUUAUCUCAAAUUCCAGCUUGGCUCGUCACUGAGUGGGAACUAAGACACUGGUUACACGAGGUUUUGCUGCGUCAUAGUAUGUUGUUGUAUGUAUGUGUAGGGACAUCCUGCCCGAUAAGUUUGGUAUUGACCCUGGAGACAGCCAAAAAUGCUGGAGAGAUGAUUCCUGUACCGUGGCCAGUUCUAUGAAUCCUGACUUAGAGAAUUGCCAUGAUCAUACAUGAUUUGUUCGCAGCCUAGAAGAUGUCAGCUCUUUGUGGUGACGUGACAGGUUCUCUGCCCUUCUGUCCUUCUCUUCCCACAGCUAGAGUUACUUCAGCCCACCAUGGUCCUCUGCCUCCUUUCCCACUCUGUAUAAAACCAGGAGCCUGUCGUUCUCCUAUUAAAUCCUGCAGGGCACUAAGUUCUGCUCCCCAGCACAAGUUCUUUGGGCGAGCCCCUCCCUCGAGACCUAACGUCAGCAUAUCCCAGGAGUCUCUGUCACCACACACUUCCUAUUGGCGCAAUGGUUGCUGCUCUGAGCCUUUAGUUAUCUUAAAUUAUUUCUACACCCCACUACCCCCAUUCAUGCAAAAUGGAUAUCCCCACUUGUACUGUUCAGUGUUGUUAUAGGAAUUAAAUAAGAUAUGCAAAGAACCUAGCACAGUUCCUGGCACGUGGAAGGCUCACAGGAAAUGUGAGCGGUGGUAUUAUUAUAAUCUCCCUGCUCCCUACCUCGUGCUGAAUCUCUCUAAGGUUGGCCCCUCUGUUUGGUCCGAUAAUUUUCCUUUCCUGGCAACUGUUCUUUGCCUGGAUGCUUGAUGUUGACUUCAUUCCUUUUCCCACAACUGCGCAUGUCCCCAAGUGUACAUUCCAUUUCAGUCCUCCUGUAAACUGUCCAAGUUCAGGCCCCUCCUGAAUGGCAAGUCCCACUGCCUUCUGACCUGUCAGUUUCAGAUGGUUCGCUUGUUAACACAACGGUAGAAGGAAUAAAGGACUCCUCAGGUGAUCCAACCAACUUCUUAUUUGCGAGGUUAAAAUUUUAAGCCAACUCUUGUGUUGAACGCCUUCUCAUUAUGACUUGGAAGCAACUAGAUCUCUGUGGAAGCAGUCUCAAAUACCGUGCUAAAUGUGCAAUUUUCUUGAGCAUACCUGUGGCAAAUCUGCCUUUCUCAAAGCCAAUCUGAGGAAGGAUCAAGAGAGACAACAUUUCAUUUGGCAUCGUUAUCAAGUAUAGGAAAUGAUUGCAAAAGUUGUGUGAAGGAUGGAAAUGGGCCUUAUAAUCAAUAUCAGAUAAGCUGCUUUUUGUCACUCUUCUGAAUAACUGUGAUCAAAGCUGACACAAAACCAGAUCAAGCUUUUAUUAUUUCUCAAUUAUACGUAAAGAACUGGGAUGGAAAGUCUUUUUGAAUGCUGCAAGUAAAAUCUUCCAGGCCGAAGGUUUGGGUAAUAAUAGGCAUGCUUUUACAGUCCUUUCUAGUUUACAAACAGCAUUGUAUUUCGUCCUCACAGUACCUGAGGGGAGCACAGCCCACACUUGCUCCAGUAAUGGAAUGUGUGUAAACCUGUGUCUCCAUGCAACUAAUUCUUAAUCAUCAGUAGUGAGCACUUUGUGUGUGCAUAUACACAGAGAGAGUGAGAGAGAAGGGUCGGCGGAGAGAAGAAAAACAAAUGAGCAUGUCAGCAUAAGCUCAAUAAAGAAUGAAUUUUCAUGGGAAAUGGAAAAUGCACCCAGAAUGCUUGGAAGAGCUGUUAAUAUUAGUCCUUGUUAGUGUUUAGGAGAGAGAGAGCAAAAGAGGUGGGUGGGGGGAGUGAGAGAUCUGUUUAUGUUUGCCACCUUAAUUAAAACACUCUUUGGACUGUCUGUUCCCAGGAUUUCUACCGGUUCAGCCGUUUUGUUAUAUAAUGGACUCUUCUUUGUCUUCAUAUAGCUCUAAAAAUACUUGGAACAAAAUCACUCUUCUUUACUGUGAUGGAAUUGUUGCUUUUUCAUCCACCCUCACACUAAAUCUCCUUCAGAAUCUUGCUCUUUAUCUCAUCCUUGAUCCCCACCUCGAGUUACAUGUGGAUUCAAAUCCAUACAGCCCCUGUGAACCUCAGUGUCAUCAGCCAGAACACAGGGACCAUACAUACCUUCUCAAGUUAUUGAGAUGCUGCAUCAACGACAAGUGCAGUGUCUUACACCCUAAGAGGGGUCCCAUAAAUGUUCCUUUCAUUUCCUCUCUGGCUCCACCUUUUCCUCUUUCCUACUUUUUGGUAUCAUUUAGGCGAUCCUUCUGUAGAGACCAGGGGACAAAGAGACACAGGCUGCCAUCUGCCUGCCACCUCCAUCCCAACACGCCCUCAUUAAUUCAGGAGAAGCGAACUGAGCAGGAGUGCAGAGGCAGGUGCUGACCAGGUCAUGAAGUUGGUCUUACAGAGAAGAAAAAUGUGUCCGUCUCUUCCUUCAGUUCUCCCUGAACGUGGCCUCAACCCAAGUUGUAAAAUUUACUUCGCACCAUUCCCGCCAUAUGCUUUGACCCUACUUGACAAUUUUCCGACUCAGGAGCAGAGAGCCAUGCCCACCCCGCCCUCUGCUCUUGUGGUUUCCUCUAUGCAGAGGGCUCUUUCCUCACUUCUCUUUUAAAAGCCCACGCUCUUUAAAAGUUACCAUUCCCAAGAAGCCGGGCUGGCCCUUAAGCAACCCUUUUCACUGUCAUUCUCCAUGCCACUCCCCACCAGGACCUAGCCACCAAACACAAUGGAUGUGAUUUAAUUUCCCUUGAGCCCUUAAAUUGUACGUUUGCAUCUCUCAGGCAGUAUCUAUCCCAUGUUUCUACUUUGCCUUCUCCCAGCAUGUAGUCAAGGCACGACUUUGUGCUUCAGUUAUUUCGGUACCUCUGUCUAGACUCUAAGUUCGUGAAUUCCCUGAGGUCAGACAUAUCCUCCUCAUCUCUGAAGAUCCCUCUACUACCCUACUGACCUUUCCCAGUAGGGGCUAAAAUAUUUAUUGAAUUCAAUUGAAUUGAACUUAUUUCCCCUUAUUUUAGAGGAAGCUUAAAGGAGUAGGGUCCCUAGAGUUGUCAGAUAAAACACAGGAUGCCUGUUAAAUUUGAAUCUCGGAUAAACAAUAAGUAAUUUUUAGUAUAAGUAUUUCUCACAUAUUACAUGGGAUAUACUUAUACUAAAAAUUUAUUUGUUGUUUAUCUAAAACUCAAAUUUAACUGAAUAGCCCAUAUUUUUAUUUGCUAAAUCUGGCAACUCUAACUGGGAACCAUGUGGCAAAAGGCAACAAAGGGGGAAGAGAUCAUAUUUAAUGGAAGCAUUUUGGAGGGAUAGAUUCAAAGUCAAGGCAGAUUUUGACACUAUCCUGAGACGACUGCCAUGACGUUCAUACUAACCCUCUCCAUCCAUCGCCAGCACUCAUCUCUUCAACAGUAGCAUCAACACUCGUCUGGGAGACACACAGCUGUCUGUGCCCUGGAGAAGCCCCUCCAGUGAAGUCCACAGGUGGUCCUGAAGCCUGCCACACCCUUGCUCCUCCCUCGCACGUUCUCUGAGCCAGACCCCUGGAUCCCACGAUGGAAAAGAAUCAGGGAGCAUUAUUUACAAUAGACAAGAUAUGAAAGCAACCUAAGUGCCCACUGAUGGACGAAUGGAUAAAGAAGACAUGGUAUAUACAUACAAUGGAAUAUUACUCAGCCAUAAAAAAGAAUGGAAUCCUCCCAUUUGCAACACCAUGGAUGCAUCUAGAGGGUAUUAUGCUAAGUGAAAUAACCAGGGAAAGAAGAACACUGUAUGAUUUCACUUAUAUGUGGAAUCUAAAAAGAAACAAAACAAAUGAACAAACAAAAGAAAACAGAAACAGACUCACAGACACAGAGAGCAAAUUGGUGGUUGCCAGAGAGGAUGGGGAAUGGCGGGAAGGUGUAGAGAAACAGGUGUGGGGGAUAAGAGGUACAAACUUCCAGUCAUGAAAGAAAGAAGUUGUGAGGAUGUAAUAUACAGCAUAGGGAAGACAGUCAGCAACAUUGUAAUAACUCUGUAUGGUGACAGAUGGUAACUAGUCUUAUCAGGGGGAUUGCUUUUUGAUGUAAAUAAAUGUUGAAUCGCUAUGUUGUACACCUGAAACUAGUACAAUCUUGUACGUCAACUAUACUUCAAUAAAAACAAACAAGCAAACAACACAAAAGAGUGCGUGCUUUAAACUCUCGGCAAGGCGCGGGC